CUGUCAUUUCCCAGGUUUUAUAAGAAGCAAACUGGAAACCAAACAAAAGUGAAAAACAAAACAAGUAAUUGAAAAUGGAAGGUUCUACAUUUCAGGAUGGAUUAUUAAGCAGAUACAGCUCUCCACUGCAGGAAAAAGAGUUUCUCAGUACUGGCUCAUUAGAGCGUCUUUAGGGAUGGAAGUGAUGUGGAAUGUCCCAUGGAUCAAAAAGUGGAAGACUGGAACAGUCAAAAUGAGAGUUAAGAACAAGAUCUGAAGUUGGGAGAUAUGAAUUAAGUUCCCAGUUCUGCCAUCAGCUUACUUUACCCAGCUAUAAAAUGAACAAUAAAUAUGUAUAUACUAAGGCUCUGUAACAGGAAAUUCAACAGUAUCCAUACCCCCCAAGGAAAAGUAUAUAUAAAAAAUAUUUAACUGGAAAUAUGCAAAACAUUGGACAAGUUACAUUGUCAUCUGUGUGGCUUUUCAGAUUCCUUUUAUUUAAAGUAAUGUGUGUGAGGAAAAAAUAGCUAUUUAAGGAAGAAAAUAAAUCUGCCAAUCUUGUAUUGAUGAAAGAUCAGCUCCUCCUUUUGUGGAAGGUAUGCUGCCUUCAGAAUGGGCAAUUUGAUAAUGCCAAUCAAGCAACUGUGGUCCACUAAUUGAUUUUUCACAAGAUAUAUGAUGAAAGCUUGUACUUAUCUGGUAGUCAGUUUGGAAAUAUAAACCUCAGAUGUUAUAAAAAAAGCUGGAUUUGUGGCUAAGAAAAAAUGAUCAAAAUAUGAGGGGAGGAUAGCAAGUUCACACAACAUGCACAAUAAGCAUGUUUGCUUAAAGCCACAAGAGUUUUUAAAAAAUGUGUUUUCUAGCACUGUCAGCUAGGAAAAAAAAUCCAAAUUCCCCUAUACUCAACUGUUAUUUAGUGAUGCCAUACACACAAAUAUGUUGGAAAUAUAUUGGGAAAAUUACUAAUAGAUUUUAAAAUUACAGUUUUAGGGACACAUUUAAAUAUUGCAAUUUUAUAGAUUUAUUUUACACAACAGCUUUACAAGGUGCCCAUAUGACCUUAAAAUCUCUGGUUAAGUUUUCCCAAAUGUACAUGGUUAAAGUUUCAGAAAGGCUGAUGCCUUGAACAUAUAAAUCAGUCCUCAGAACCGUGAUGUUAGCAGAUUUGUUGUUAAUACUUUUCUUUCCAAUAUUUGAACAAAAUAUACACUUUAGGUACAGGAUUUUAGAAUAUAUUUAAGGCUUUUAUUAUUAUUAUUUGCCUCUGCAUACUGCUCCAGACUUAAUUUCUAGAUGCAAGAUGAGAAUAUUUGUUAAAGAGACCAUGGGAAUAAUUUCCACAGGACUUCUAAUACUUUAAAAUUUACUAUUACCUGGACAAAUGUUAUAACUAAAUGCACUGUGUGACUUAUAGGAAUUUUUAAAAGACAAACAACUUGUAAAAGCAGUUGGGUCUUUUUAUUUAUGUAUUUGAAAAAGACCAACAAAAAUGCAAAGAGUUCUAGAAUUAUUUAAUAUUAAAAUACAUAUGCACAACUGGUAGAGGAGGCAACUCUGUGAAAUCAGUGAACCACCUCAACAUGUAUUAAAGAACUAGUGUUGGGCUAUAUACUUUGUAUGUAUUUAUGCUACACUGGAAUCUUAAGCAAGGGUUUUUAUUUUUCUUCUCCAAAAAAGCAGCAAAAUCCUAUCAAUCUUAACUCCUUAACAUGGGUAGCUUCAUAAUAGCACAUUCUUUUAAAGUGAAAUACUUAUUAGUUUGCUUCUCUAAUCUUUUACUCAGCAUAAAACACUCAGCAUCAAACAUUGAAGAGUUUAGCUUAUUAAUGAAAGGCCAUAAUUGUGACCUUUUUUUAAUAGUCCUGCAAGGGGAACAACAUAUAUUCAAAUAACCCCCCAGGAGUAUAUAAUUCUGGUGAGCUGGAAAAUGAAGCCAAGGUGCUGCCUCAUUGCUCUUCUAAAACCUUUUUGGGAUAGUGUAUGUUUCUAAAAAAUUAGGAUGGUGAGUUCUUUUUCUAGAUCGCAGAGCCCGUGUCUACGUCAGACGUUGACUGUGCAGUUAUUACUGCACUGUCAUUUAGUACUUGCAU